GACGAACGCUGGCGGCGUGCUUAACACAUGCAAGUCGAACGGAGUGGCGAACGGGUGAGUAACACGUGGGUGAACUGCCCUGCACUUCGGGGUAAGCCUGGGCAACUGGGUCUAAUACCGGUGAGUGUGGGAUGGGCCCGCGGCCUAUCAGCUUGUUGGUGGGGUAAUGGCAGAACAAGGCGGCGACGGGUAACCGGCCUGAGAGGGUGGACGGCAACAGUGGGACUGAGACACGGCCCAGAGUCCUAAGGGAGGCAGGAGGGGGGAAUAUUGCACAAUGGGGGGAAGCAUGAUGCAGCGACGCGGGGUGGGGGAUGACGGACUUCGGGUUGAGAACGGCUUACACCAUCGACGCGGUAGAUGGAGAAGAAGCACCGGCUAACUACGUGCCAGCAGCCGCGGUAAUUC
rnacentral:rRNA from 1 species